UAUGAUGAAUUCCCUUGUUUUUGAGUUGUCACAGAAGUCCUCCUCCUCCUCCUGGUUUGUUUCCCUGUUACUGUGACAAACACUGUGGCCCAAAGCAGCUUAUGGAGGGAAAGGUCAUUUGUGGCUUACAGGUUUUGGUCUGUCAUCAAGGGAAGCCAAAGCAGGAAACUGGAGGUGGCAGACGAGGCAGUGACCACGGAGAAAUGUCUCUAACUGGUUUGGUUUCUAGGUGUGCUUGGGUCUUCAGAAGUUCAAGAAUGACAAGAAUGACAGUUAACUUGUGCCCGAGGAAGGCUGGAGCUGUGGAGAAGAAACAGAGAGAAUCACAAGGAAGAGAAGGGAAGCAAAUCUUUUCCAUGCCUGCUGGAGAAUUAUGAACUUAAAGCAGGUUAAACUCAGGGGAAGGGAGAAGUUCUACAUUGUAAUGAAGGCUGCACACAUGCGAUGAGUCUGGGCUGGAUUGCACGUGACUUUGACUCGUUUGAAAGAGGCUAGAUACCUUUUUAGCAAGCACAAAGCAGAAAGUUCUAUAAAACUUGUUUGUCUAGUGAGCUAAUGACUCCAGAGGGCCGAUAAACUGUCUCUUUCCUUUA